UACGUAGGGGGCAAGCGUUAUCCGGAUUUAUUGGGCGUAAAGAGCGUGUAGGCGGCCCGGUAAGUCCGCUGUGAAAGUCGGGGGCUCAACCCUCGAAUGCCGGUGGAUACUGUCGGGCUAGAGUGCGGAAGAGGCGAGUGGAAUUCCUGGUGUAGCGGUGAAAUGCGCAGAUAUCAGGAGGAACACCAAUGGCGAAGGCAGCUCGCUGGGACGGUACUGACGCUGAGGCGCGAAAGCGUGGGGAGCAAACGGG
rnacentral:rRNA from 1 species